UUAAUCUCAGACCAGAUGUAAAUUUUCAGCAAGAGUAUGACUUCUGUUCAGGAAGAAGUACUCUUUGAAAAUACAUUAUUCAAUGGUACAUAUCGGGGGAUCGUGAAGAUUUUAUCGGUGAGUAUGUAGACUCGGAAUGGCUUAGAUGGAUCUUGAAUGAUCAGACAUAGAAUGAUAAGGUUGUAUGUCAAAAGGGAAACAGCCCAGAACAAAAGUUAAGGUUCCAAAAUUAUUGUUAAGUGAAAUUAAGAAGGUUUUUAUUUGAGUCGACAAGGAGAUGGGCUUAGAAGCAGCCAUAAUUUGAAGACCUCGUAAUAGAGCGCUCGUUAAGUCUUUAAAAGCAUCGAAAAUUUAACGGAUCUAAACAAUAUACCGAAACUUUGUCCUCAUUUAAACAUAAUUUUUAUUAUUGUUAUUUGCAGGGGUAGCAGAACGUUGGGUUAUAUUAGAUUUGGUAUUUUUAAAAUUCAAAUAAAAAAAAACUCAAGUGAUAAUGGUGACAUGAGUAGCGAAAAAGAUCCGGUACAAGGAGUAUUCCAACAAACUAGGCUUCGCUCUAGAUGAGGAAAGAAACUGUAGACGGAACUCGCCUAAAGCUUAUGGCUGAGGUAAAGCGGCCUCUAAGUUUUUAACCUUAAGGUUAAAACGAUGAGAAAAUAGAUUGACUACAUCGCUAACAUUUUAGUUUCAGUGCUGCUUCUGACCGUGAGGUAAGAAGGUCCAUUGAAAGUAAGUGCAAAAUGUGCUGGAAAAUGUGUAGUCUAAUCUUGUUUAGAACAACAAACUAAAAAGAUGAGUUAGAAAUAAGAUAAUAAAACCGUACCUAAAGACUGCCGCACAAGUAAGCUAGUAGAGA
rnacentral:rRNA from 1 species